rnacentral:rRNA from 1 species
AUUGAACGCUGGCGGCAUGCCUUACACAUGCAAGUCGAACGGCAGCACGGGAGCAAUCCUGGUGGCGAGUGGCGAACGGGUGAGUAAAGCAUCGGAACGUGCCCAGUCGUGGGGGAUAACGUAGCGAAAGCUACGCUACUACCGCAUACGAUCUGUGGAUGAAAGCGGGGGACCGUAAGGCCUCGCGCGAUUGGAGCGGCCGAUGUCAGAUUAGGUAGUUGGUGGGGUAAAGGCUCACCAAGCCGACGAUCUGUAGCUGGUCUGAGAGGACGACCAGCCACACUGGGACUGAGACACGGCCCAGACUCCUACAGGAGGCAGCAGUGGGGAAUUUUGGACAAUGGGCGCAAGCCUGAUCCAGCAAUGCCGCGUGCAGGAUGAAGGCCUUCGGGUUGUAAACUGCUUUUGUACGGAGCGAAAAGGCUUCCACUAAUACUGGGGGCUCAUGACGGUACCGUAAGAAUAAGCACCGGCUAACUACGUGCCAGCCGCCGCCGUAACAC